ensembl:lncRNA
GUAAGUGUUAGGGAGCACACCUGGCAUAUACACACUGCGUUUCUGAAUGUGUGCCGGAAAUGUUCGGAACAUGCUGUUAUUCCGGGACCAUCGAAAAUAAAGGGAAAUUUUGGAGCUCGCCUAACUCCCACAGCAUCAGUGACACAGACAUGAAUGAAUGUUUGGCUUAGUCCAGACGAUCAGGAAAUUCCUUUGGGAAUGGAUCCCAUGUGGAUGUUGCAGGGAAUUACACACUAAUGUAAAAUGAGUCUAGAGAUCAAACAGCCGAACCGAGACACGGGCUGCGUCCGGAACCGCACACUUACCUACUGCACAGUAGGCGAAAAGCAGUACACCAGAGGGGUAGUAUGUCCGAAUUCUCAGUAGGCGAGAAAUACCCGGAUGGUGUACUGCUUCCGGCUAGAUUUUGUAGUAUGCAACUGAUGACCUGCGUGAAGUUGACCCCCACCCAACGCAAAACGUCGGCAAAAUAGUCUGAAUCAUUUGUGCUCCGUUUGUGCCGAUGAAAGUUCCGUUUGAGCUGCUUCAGUUUUUUAAAUAUUAGAUAUUAAAUUAUAGGCGAUGACGUCACCAACCCCCACACGCUCCAAAUUCACCCCCAAAUAGUCUCAAUCGUUUGUGCUAAUAAGAGCUUCAUUUUUGCGACUGUCUUUCUUUUUUUUAACAAUACAGUUGAAGAAACAAAGUAACAUCCAAAUGGCAAAACAAAUCACAUUAAAUAGUCGUAUUCACUUAAUUGUUAACUAUCUACUGUUCGUUUUCAACUUUUAAGGGACACAGCGGAGCACAGGAUGUGUGAAAUGUAACACGAACUCCAAGACAUUCCUGUCACUCCACUUCUCAGGUCUUCAUACAUCUCCCAGACACAUGGAGACCUCCUGCAGUAGGCCACAUAAUGCCCAAGAGCAUCCUGGGUAAAGCCUCCUCUGAAAGCAAUGACUGCCCUUAGAGUAAAUCUCUCUCCUUGGAGCAUCAGAUUGGAGGGAAUUUCACAGGUGCUUCCCAGAGGGACAGUGUGACGGACUUUGGAUUGGCCUCAGGCAGGGGGACUCCGGAAGGUUAAGGCCUUCUUCCACUGCCGUCUGAAGGUGAGCCAUGCUAGAAGCCUGCAGUACAGCAACAGAAGUACAAACAAAUGGAAUUUCCCUUGUGACAUCUGUGCUGACCCUGCAAUACUGUGAGGAGCACUGUUGUGUGAAGGAAACACAUGCACGUUGUGUCAUUGACUUUUCAAUGAUCAUGGAGAUGUGGCACUGGCAUCGAUUUGGAGAGCACCAGAUUUCAAUUGGACAGCUUUGAAUAUUCCACUCAGCAGCUCUGCCCUCUGUAUGUAGACCUGUGCAUUCAGACCCUUUGUGGUGAUUGUUUUCACUAGCUGGAGGAGGUUGUUGGGGUCCUCAAACAAUAUUUCCAAAAGUGACACUUUUGCAUAAAGCACAACAUGAGCAUUGACAAAAAAAGCAUCAAAUGCACGUGUUCAUCACAGAGAUUAUUGAUUUCCUGAGUUUAACAGGAUGUUAUUUCCAUUUUUCAACAGUUCUGCUUUCAGUCUUUUCCCCCUCAUGGAUGGAUCUGCAUGGAGCCAUUCAGGACAAGGAGAGGGGUAUGACUUCAUUUCCCUCUUUAUUUUGGGUGGAACUGCUAAGCCUCUCCAGUUUUCUACAGCGGAUGGAUGUUUGUGACCUUGUCAGACUUCCCAGAACAGGAAGCAUCCAUUUCUUGUUUUCUGUCUACACUGCAAGUUGUGGUGGGUAGUGGAUUGGCUCCUGUGAUUAUCACUGUUGUGACAGCUGCAUCUUCUUCACCUUCUUCACUUUUUUGUUUUGCAUAACAAAUUCACAUAUUAACCCUCAAUUAAGGACACAUGUCACACAAUGAAUCGAUCCACCCGAAUAGGCAAGUUUUCAUGCUUGAAAAGCCUGUGGUUGAUGUUUUUGAACUCUGCUUCAACAUUGGCUGAACUUGCGAGGGAGGGAUCAUUACCCCUGUCCAGAGUGGUCCCCACCCUCGACAUCUGGAAUGAUUACACACUCUUCUGCAAUUCGGGCUUUCAGCAGUCCCACUGGCAGAUCAUCUUGAUGCACUGUGCAACAUCAACCCGAACAAAACAAGGUGGCACUUUUGCUGACUCUUUACUGAGUGAGACACCACAACACUCAUUGAUGUAGGUCUUCAGAUCAGGACGAGGAGUAAAAGCCUUGACCAUAGCUCCCAGCAAAGCCAGAGAAAAGUUACACACAACCUCUUUUGGAAUUGGUACACCUGCACGUAUCCAUUCUGUCAGCCAAUGUGUUAUUGCAUUAACAUCGUGUCUCUCUGACUGCAUUUGCACCACUGGGACACUUGAACUCACAUCCCUGCCAGAACACUCUGAUAUAAGAUAUGGCCAGACAUGCCAUUUGGUCUCAGUAGUUUCCUCACUACUGAGUCAGUUGCAUCAAAACUCACAGUGGGGGUGGCCAAAUUAGGCAGAUGGAUUGGCUCAGGAUCUCCAAAAUCCAUCAGCUUUGUUGCCUCUGAUGCCCUCCAUACAUGGAGUUGCAUUCUGCUCUCACACAGUUCUUUGGCUGUCUGCACAUGCAAGUUACCAGACAUCGCAUGCUUGGAACAGCCAGUGUGCAGGGAGUCAUUAGUGUUUUUAAUUAAACACUUGAGCACCAUUGGGCUGUUCAUUUCACACUGUCAAAUUUUAUGUGAAUGUGGCCAAGGCAUUCCUUACAGUUGCCUCUGAUUUCUAUGAAUUUCUCUGUGGCUGAUUGAUAGACCUUGGCUCUUUUAAAGGCUAAUGUGCAGGGGCUUUUCACUUCUUGCCAAAUGUGAUUAUUUAUCACAUGUGUCCAGAUGCCAGGCUUCAAAGUUGUGUAUUCCCUUUUUUGUGUUUUAGAGAACUUGUUUUUGUAUUGAACUGUUUCAGGCCUAAAUUCAAUCCAUUUUUGAAAUGGAACUUCAACAUCAAAAAGUCCAGCAGUCUUUUGGUCUGGGGGAAAAGGGACCCUGGCUCAAAAUCAGUGUCAUCAUUACUGCCACUUGUUUCAUGAUCACUUUCAUAAAUAAACCCUAAAGCAGUCCAGAUGUUGUGUCUGUUCAAUUUAACAAACGUAUAUAGAGCCUUUGCAGUGAGCUUGUUUUUUUUGCUGCUCACUAAGCUCUGUCCAGAUGCUCUGAUUAGGAGUAGCUAUGUUGUCAUUUUGGACUAUGGCCUCUUUUGAUGAACAGAGGACUGUGAAAAUGGACUCCCUGAUGAAUGCUGGUUUCUUGGGCAUCUACCCACUGAAAUAAUGUAUUUUAAUCAUGUACAUUAUGUAUGUAUAUUAAUCAUGUAUUACUGUAUUUGCCUGAAUACAAGGAAAAUGUAAUAUAGUAUUAAUAUAUUAGGUUAUUAUAUCUUAUAUUAGGACCAAUAUGGUAAUGUUGACCCCUAGAUGCAUAACCUAUUCAAAAAAACUAAUAAGGGUACCAUGUACAGCUGUAAUUAGCAUUUCAUAGCUCAAUUAGCCAUAUUAGUAUUAGCAAGGAGUUUUCUGUUCAAUAAACAUUGACAAUCUUAGCUCUCUUGAAUGUUGUACCAUUUGGUGUGUAUAUGUUUAAAAUUGUAGUAUGUUGUUCAAAUAUUGUACCAGUGACCAGAAUGUAUCUACCUUCAGGGUCCUGUUCCUGGUAUUCCAGAACAAGUGGGAUAUUUUUGUGUAUUAGUAUAGUGGUGCCUAUCCUAUUUGAACUGUAUGAGGAGGA